rnacentral:lncRNA from 1 species
GAAUUAUUCUAUUGAUAGGUAGAAAAGAAUUUUAUUACAGUUAAAGGGCCAUGUGUAUACCUUGACAAAAUCAACAGUUCCUAUUUCAUCUGGAUUGUUUGCUUGACUUACAUUGCACAGGUUGUGAGGUUUGUUUUUAACAAUUUUUUUUUCUUGAGAUGGAGUCUCGCUCUGUCACCCAGGCUGGAGUGCAAUGGCGCGAUCUCGGCUCACUGCAACCUCCGCCUCCCGAGUUCAAGCAAUUCUCCUGCCCCAGCCUCCUAAGUAGCUGGGACUACAGGCAAGCGCCACUAUGCCCAGCCAAUUUUUUGUAUUUUUAGUAGAGAUGGGGUUUCACUCUGUUAGCCAGGAUGAUCUCGAUCUCUUGACCUCAUGAUCCACCUGCCUUGGCCUCUCGAAGUGCUGGGAUUACAGGCAUGAGCCACUGCUCCCGGCUAAUAAAAUGUUUUAAGCAUACGAAAAAUAUGCAGAAUAAUAUGAAGACCACCUGCGCUCACUCAAUCCACAUUGUCAAACCUACAUUUUAUUACAUCUGCCUCAGAUAAUUCUUCUACUUUAAAAAAAAAAUAAAAUUCUGCAGAUAGGCCCAGAAAUUCUAAUCUUGGACUUUUCCUCCAAGUAAAAUGAACAGUUAUAGUCUCACAAAAAUCUGUACAUGAAUGGUCAGAGUGGCUUUAUUUAUAAUCACCCAAAUCUGAUAGCAAUCCACACAGCUUCUGAGGGGUGAAAGGAUAACAAAUCAUGGUAUAUCAAUUCAAUAGAAUACUACUCAGCAAUUAAAAUCAGGAAACUACCAAUACACACAACAACAUGGAUGAAUUUCAAGUGUGUUUUUAGUGACGAAACCCAUACUCAAAGGCUGCAUGACUGCAUUUUUAUAUUUCAGAAAAAGCUAACUUUAUAGAUAAAAAACAGAUUAGUACAUGCCAAAGGCUGGACGUGGAGAGGACUGACUACAAAAGGGGAUGAGGAAAUUUAGGGGGUGAUAAGCCUGUUCUGUAUCUUGAUUUUGGUGGUGGCUACAUUAUAGUGUUUGGCAAAACUCACAGAACUGUACCCCAUGAUGAAUGACUUUUAUUGCAUUUAUUUUUUAUUUU